rnacentral:rRNA from 1 species
AGGAAAAGAAACUAACCAGGAUUUCCUCAGUAGCUGCGAGCGAACAGGAAAGAGCCCAGCACCGAAUCCCGCGGUUCCGCCGCAGGGAAAUGUGGUGUUCGGGAGGAUCCGCUUAUCCCUUGGCGUCGCGCCGCGUCCAAGUCCAUCUUGAAUGGGGCCACUCACCCGUAGAGGGUGCCAGGCCCGUAGCGACCGACGCGCGCCUCGGGAGGAUCUCUCCUUAGAGUCGGGUUGCUUGAGAGUGCAGCUCUAAGCGGGUGGUAAACUCCAUCUAAGGCUAAAUACGACCACGAGACCGAUAGCGAACAAGUACCGUGAGGGAAAGUUGAAAAGAACUUUGAAGAGAGAGUUCAAGAGUACGUGAAACCGUUCAGGGGUAAACCUGAGAAACCCGAAAGAUCGAACGGGGAGAUUCAUCGUCAGCGGCGCUGGCUUCGCGUCGGUGGGCGAUGUCCCGCGGUGCCGCCUCGUCGCGGCUCCCGCGCGGGCACGCUACCGUGCGCCGAUGUCCGGCGAGCGUCGUCGUGCACUUCUCCCCUAGUAGGACGUCGCGACCCGCUGGGUGUCGGUCUACGGCACGGGGCUGAGGUGUCUGUCGCGCCUGCACGUCAAACUGCGCGCGCGGCAAACUCCCGGUAAGCCCGGCCGACUGCCCGGCGGUAUACGAAACGGUAUCAGGCCGCGCCUCGCGCGCGUCGAGCCCGUCGCAAGCGAGCGCCACGGUACCCGGAGGCACGGACCCAGCGCCGUCCCCGGUCCUGGCCCGCUGCUGGCUGGUACGGUGUUACCUUCGACUGGCCCGAGACACCCCCCGCGUCCCGGUAACACGGGCCGCGCGGGGCAUACCGGUCGGCGACGCUACUGCUUUGGGUACUCUCAGGACCCGUCUUGAAACACGGACCAAGGAGUCUAACAUGUACGCGAGUCAUUGGGAUCGUAGCGAUACCUAAAGGCGCAAUGAAAGUGAAGGUCGACCCUGGCCGCCGACCCAGGGAGGAUGGGCCGCGUCGCGAUGCGGCUCCGCACUCCCGGGGCGUCUCGCUCUCAUCGCGAGAAGAGGCGCACCCAGAGCGUACACGUUGGGACCCGAAAGAUGGUGAACUAUGCCUGGUCAGGACGAAGUCAGGGGAAACCCUGAUGGAGGUCCGUAGCGAUUCUGACGUGCAAAUCGAUCGUCGGAACUGGGUAUAGGGGCGAAAGACUAAUCGAACCAUC